UCUGAAUUUGAUGCGUUGAAGAAGGAAGUUGCAAAUGUCCGCAAAGAUCUUAAAUCAUUUGAGAAAAAGGUCGGUGAACAGUUUGUUGACAUGAAAGACUACAUGGACAAGUCAAUUAUGAAUUUACUUAAAGAUCUAAAGUCCAUGUUUGGCAGGCAAACUGAAACUCCUGAAGCUAAGAUGUCUGGCAGUGUUAAGGAUGUUACAAAAGAACCAAAGACAAGCAACAAGAAUGAUGGACUUCAGCACAACCUAUAUUUUCAUUUUGAUGAACCGAUAGGUGAUUUUGACAUUGGUGGGCAGGAUGUAAG